rnacentral:lncRNA from 1 species
AGGAGCCACGGUAGCCAUGGCAAGCCCUAAGCUUUAAACCUUGCAUGGAUUCAUUUUUAUUUGGGAGAAUUAUUCGAUUUAGUAAAAGGUUGAUUUUAGUAAAAGAUUUUAUAUAUAUAUAUAUACUACUUUAUAAUGUAUAUUCAUAUUAAAAUUUUCAUUAUUACUAUAAAAUCCCUUUGAGUGUAAUUAUAAGCAAUGUUCUAUAAUAUUUUAGGUGUAAUUUAUAAAUAAAUUUUAUUUUAAAUUUAAAUACAAUACUAAUAUCUAUUUUUGGUUUGCUGAAGCAAAUCUGUAUGGUAAUGAAUAUACCUAGAUUAUGCUUGAAUAUUCAAGGAUAUUCUACCAUCUAACAGUUCUUAUUUAUUUAGAUUAAUCUUGUAAUUAUAAUUUAUAAACAUGUUUAUAAAUUUUCUUAAACACUUUUUAAUAUAUUCUUUUUUAUUCUGCCAUCUAAUGGUUGAUAUGUAAUAAGAUUAAUCUUGUGUUAUAGUAAACUUUUAUUUGAUCAAUUGGAUUAAUAAAUAGGAAUAACACUAAUAUUGAGUAAACCAAACAUUGCUACAUGCAAUGCGUAGCAAAAAAAAUUUCAAUGUCAUGAACCUUUCAUAUUCAUAUAUAUAUAAAACAAGAUGUACGGGUUUGAAAUACUUAACACCAGACCUUAGGUUGAUCCACCUUUUCUCUUUCAGGAAGCUUGUCAUGACGGACCUGUGCAAGAGAUGUAUGAUAUCGUUCCCUGUAUCCAGGAAACAUGUUCAAUCGUCCUCACUUCGCAGCAGGGCUGUCAGGAUUGGCAGACUUUCCACUCAAUGCACCGCCAGCCAGUGGAGAGUACACCAGUAGUCCGACGUUGCAGUACUUUGUGAUGGCUUAAGUAGACUGUUCACAGGAAAAGUUGGCAGACGAAGUUCACCAGAUUAAUAGUUUGUUCCUUCGAAGCGGCAGCAAACAAGCAAGCUAUAGCUGUUUUGGAUGCUCACGAUCUUGGGAAGGCCGAGCUUCUCUGCAGCAUCGGUGAAUCCCAUGACACCAAACGAUGUUUCGUUUGAGACACCAAUGUAGCGAACCUGGAGUAUCGUGAGAAAGAUGAAUCAACAAGCGAGAACCUUUCCCUCUUGAAUGACCGAGUUGAGAGCUUCCAGUUGCUCCUCGAACGACACGCUCUCUUGCCACUUCCAUAUAUCAUAGAAAAACUCGCCAAGAACUCUCGCGGAGGUAAGAUGAUCGAUCGGAAUAGCCUGAAACUUUAGUCGCGAUUAUUACCUGCAGAAACCAACACGCAGCAAAAGUAAAAAGACAAAGGAGAAAAAGAUAAACUAGGCAAACAAAAGCAUUAAGAAAUCUAGAGCUUACCUUGCGUGAUUGGUUUUUUGCCAACGUAGCGAUCUGUCCGCCCUUGUCUCUUUGGACAAAGGAACAGGAUACUAUCAGACAAACCAUGUAAGAUACUUCCCAAGAUAAUACCAAAGCAUUGCAUUUCACUCUAUACCAUCUCGGCAGUGUCGAGUAUGUUGAUCCCAUUCUUGAAGGCAUAGCUUAGCUGCUCGUGAGCAUCUGCCUCGCUGUUUUGGACCCCCCAGGUCAUCUACAAGAAAGCCUUGAUCAAUCAAAAUCCAAGCAAAAAAACAAGUGCAGCUUACAUUUCCCAGUGUGACUUUGCUGACAAUGAGCUCUGAGUUGCCGAGCUUGUUGUAACGCAUCGAGGAGCUGGGGCUCGCUGGGCAGCUACAUUUCUCCUGGAUGUAAAUUGAAAAUUCUUGCCAGCACUGAGAGCGGAGCCCUGAACUUGAUUACAAAUCCAAAGCAUAGGAAAUUAAUAUAAUACUAAUAUUAAUAUAAGUAUAAAUAUUAUAAUAAUGUAAUUAUAAAUUAAUAUUAAAUUAAGCAUGAAUUUUAUCAGUUUGAAACACAACAUCUAUUGAUAAAUUUUGACUUAUAACAACUUUGAAAUUGGUGAUGUAAAUACAUUCACUCUCAAGCGGCUUAGAGGACUCAAAUACCUUCUUUGGCAAAUAUUUAAUUUAAAACUGCAUGUUGUAAGAUAAUCAAAUUGUGGCAAUACUCUUAAAAAAUGGUAAUAUAUAAUAAUUUUAACCACUGUGAAUAAUUAUAUUUAUUCUGAUACUUAUUUAAUUUUUUUUCUAAAGAAUAAAAAACGUAUUAAUACUUUGUUUCAUUUGUGAAGAAAAAAUUAAAACAACAAUUUCUCUUAUAAUUUUCUUGGUUUUCUUAAAAAAAUCCUAUAGAUAUCUAGAAUAUACUUGGCUAUUUUAAAUAUUCUACCAUCUAACUAUUUAUUUAGAUUAAUCUUGUAUUUAUAAUAAUUUAUACCUUUCCUAAACACUUCCUAGUAUAUUUUUAUUUAUUCUAGUGGUGCAAUAAGAUUAAUCUUGAUUUAUAAAUUAUAAACAUAUUUAUAAUUAUCGAUCAAUUGAAUUAUUCAAAAAUAUUAAAUAAGAAUGACACUACUAUUAAGUAAACCAAGCAUUUCUGCAUUCAAUGUGCAAUAAAUUAUUAUAAUUACUAUCACUCUUAUAGAAUUUAUAGAUGAAAUAAAUUCUUUAACAGCCCAUGAUAGAUCUUAGUAGCAUAUAAUAUACACUAAUUUAUUCCAUAUUACAACAUGGCUACUAGCUAUAAUUUUUUUUAUCCUAGUAAAGCAUCUUCAAAGACUUAUUUCAGUCCAGGCUAGAUUCUUGCUAGUAUAAAUAUAUAUCAAUUAAAUUAUCAUGGCUAAUCAAAGUAUAAUAUUAAAACAAUUACCAUUCAUAAGCUCUAACAGGUAUAGACCAUCCUUGAGAUGUAUGGGUUUGAAAUAUUGCAUAUCCAAAAACAUGCCAUUCAACACCAGCUUUACCUCCAUAUUCAGGAUUUCCUUGUUUAUAUGCUGUUAUAACUUUGGAUUUCCCAUCACUUACAAUCUUUAAAUUGCACCAAAAUUCAGUUGUGCCAAACCAUCUAUCAUUGAAUGUAAAAGGGGGAUACAUUGCUCUAUCCUGGAUAACAUACUUUUGGAUAUCAUCAUCCUUGGAUUGGCAAUGUACUUCUAGUGGAGAACCUACUCUAUUUAUAACAUGUAUUGUGGUACCAUAGGCAUUAAUGGUUGCAUUAUUACAUUCACACAUAGAUAUUAUAUCAAUUAGAAAUACUAACAAAAUCACCUUGUAGUUGUAUUUCGCUAGAGCCAUAACAAUGUUGUAUAUUAAGUUUCAUUUAUAAUAAGUAAGUUGAAUAUUUCGUUUUUAAUAAUGAUAUUUAAAUAAAACAAAAUUUGUUUUGUUCCAUUCCAGCUAUGGACGGGGUCUCCAAGAGCGUGCUCGUCAUCGGGGCCACGGGCUACAUUGGCCGCUACAUCGCCCUAGCCAGCGCCGCGGCCGGAUUUUCGACAUCGGCGCUCCUGCGCGCCAAUUCGGCGGCCGCGCCAAAUCCAAGGAGGGACAAGGCCAUCGAAUCCUUGCACGCCGCAGGGAUUAGCAUCAAGAAUGUGAGUGUCGGAUCAUAGAUUUCGGGCUGGCUAUCGAUUCCCUGUCCCUUGCUCCAUCCAGGGAUCCCUUGACGAUCGUGAGAGCUUGAUGCUGGCCCUGGAAGAUGUGGACAUCGUAAUAUCGGCCGUCGGGAUACCUCAAAUUCUAGAGCAGCUAAAUCUCGUCGAGGCCAUGAAGGAGAAGAAAACUGUCAAGGUCUCGAAAGAAAGAGAAGAUCUCUCCCCCAUCUCAUAGGUACUUCUUUCUUCUUCGUAACUUAGGCUAACGCGAGUUUUUUUCUUUGUUUUCUUUUGCUAUGUGCUACUAGAGAUUCGUUCCAUCGGAGUUUGGCCAGGAUGUCGAUAAGGUGGUUUGUCUAAAGCCGGCCCAGGAGGUGCUGAGCGACCCAAAAAUUCGCGUUCGCCGUGCCAUAGAGGCCGCUGGAAUCCCAUUCACGUACGUUAUCACGAAUGCUUUUGCAAAGUUCCAUUUCAACAUGCGAGAGGAGAAUGGACGACUCUCUCCUCCCGAAAGGUUCGUCAUAUAUGGUGAUGGAAACAUUAAAGGUAUAUACAUCUUCUCUCCUUUUUUUUUCUUUUCUUCUUCCUGGCUUGUCUGAUGCUAUGUGUGCACGCAGCUAGUUUUGUUACCGAGGAAGAUAUCGGAGCCUUCACUGUCAAGGCUGCUGCCGAUCCAAGAGCAUUAAACAAGACGCUACACAUGAGACCACCUGCGAAUGCCUUGUCGCAGAACGAGACUGUCGCGAUCCUGGAGAGAGAAACCAAGCGGCAACUGAGAAAGGAGGUGAUGUCGCAGGUUGAAAUGCUGGAAUCCAUACGAGGUCAUGUUUUCCUUGCCUUCGAAUGUUGUGACAGCCCACGCUCACACUCAGCCCACUUGUUCCACAGAAUCCUCCGGAGGCUUCCAAGCCGUCAUACUGUCGCUCAUGUACUCUGCUUACAUCAGAGGCGAUACUUUUGGUUUCGAGCUGGGGCCGAAUGACGUGGUGGCGCAUGAACUAUACCCGGACGCCAGUUUUACCGAUGCACACGGCUAUCUCAGUAAGUUUGUCUGAGGGCUCGCCUCUAUAUUGCUUGCCUCCUUUCUCUUUUGUAAAGUGGUGAGUAAAUGUCUACGCAUAACACUUUUCUUUUAGCCUUGUCGGACUGAGAUAGCGCUCGAAAGCUUGUGCUUGCUCUGAAUCUUGCAAUGGUGGCAAGCGAGAGAAAUGCUUUAGUAUUUCUGGAACAGGAGGAGCUCACUCACCCACACAACACACACAACAGUGGUGCGAUGGGACAGGGAGCACAAACUCACGCAGUAAGCAAAGCAUUAUCGCUCCGCCUGAUAACACGUGCUUUGUUUUAUUCGCUAAACAGGUCCCCGGAAAGCUUGGCAGCCGCUUUGCUCGAUUGUUUCUCGCAAAAACUUUUGGAUGAGAGCCGAGCGAGCGAGCCAUGUUCAAGACGACAGAGAGCCAAUCAUGCCCUGCAAGCUUUGACUGCUUACUUCCGUCUUGCAACCAUCUUCGUUCCAUACAAGGAAAGGAGAAAAAAUGAGAAGAAGCAUUCUCUCGGCUGGGGGACUGGGAGGAAAAUAAUUCACACGACCAAGUAAGCAGUAAUGCCUGGGCCACCUGCAAUAAUUUUGUGAGACAGAUCCCUGUGGCCGAAUGGAAUCGGAGUUUAGUGUUCCUGUUCACAACGAAUUGGUGGCCACAUAUUCCCAUGGUAGUUUCUCUCUUCCUUUUUCAUGUCUUCUUUGUUCGUAUUUUUUAUAGUUUCGUUUCGUGGCAGUACCGAUGCACCUUUAUUUGUUUCAGGUUUUGGAGUGACUCUUCCAAGCAAGCAAGCAAGCGCUUCUAGUUCUCACAUGCCGCUUUCAUCUUUCCUUGCACAUAUCGGAUGUGGAGUCCAACUGGCUCCAAGUUCGGAAUGAUUCAAGGCUCAGACAUCUGCCGGGCGUGUCGCGCACUUCAUGCAGGUACUUGAUCAUUGGAUUUCUCUCAAGCUUCCAGUAUUUAAGUCGCUUGUUGGUGUUGUCUGUGCAUGUAGCUACAAGAUCGCUGUGAGAUCCUUGGCAGCCAAAACUUGGUGAGUUUGCAAUUGCUUUGGUUAUGCUGGCUGCAUCGCGUUGGCUCCAUCCAUCUAGUCUAAACUGGUUUUCCUCUGCAAAGGAAAUGAAGAAAUCCUCGGAGUCGCAGGAAAUCCUACAAAAUGGAUCCAUGGACUACAAGAGGAGGCCGGCUGUGAAAUGCCAAACCGGUGGCUGGAAGUCGGUGAUCCUCAUACUAGGUGCGUGAGUGUUUUUGCAACUUUACUCUCACGCUACAGAGAUUGAUGAGAGGGACACUGUUGCUGAUCCCUUGCAGGAACCGAGCUCUGCGAGAGGCUUGCCACUCUCGGAAUCGGUCUCAACCUCAUCACCUAUUUGGUCACCGAGUUGCAUCUCUCACCAUCGCAAGCUCCAAACAUCGUGACCAACUUCCUCGGCACGUCCUACGUGUGCUGCCUGAUCGGAGGAUUCGUGGCCGACACUUGCCUUGGCCGGUUCUGGACAAUCGUGAGCUUCUCCUUCGUACAGUUCAUGGUAUGUUUUCCACACGCUUCAAAUGCCACAGAAAGAGGCUGACUUUUCCAGUUUUUCUCGAGCAGGGAAUGCUGCUUCUCACACUCUCCGCCGGCAUUCCGUCGCUAAGGCCUUCCAAGUGCAAUGCCGAGGACUACAAAACUUGCCAGCCAGCUCGAGGCAUGGAACUGGCGGUGCUCUACAUGGCCUUGUAUAUGACCGCUCUUGGGACGGGAGGCAUCAAGGCAUGCGUGUCCGCCUUUGGAGCCGACCAGUUCGACGACUCGGAUGCCAAGGAGAGGCGCAGCAUGGGGCAUUUCUUCAACUGGUUCUUCGUGGCGAUAUCCAUCGGAACUCUCCUGGCGGUGACGGUGCUCAUUUACAUCCAGGACAACGUCGGGAGGAGCUGGGGAUAUGGCAGCAGCGCAGGCUCCAUGUUCAUGGCGAUAUGCGUCUUCCUCGCCGGGACGCCACUCUAUCGCUACAGAGCUCCCAACGGGACGUCCAUCGUCUCCAUUGCGCACGUCCUGGUAGCCGCAUUUCGCAAGCGACACGGCAUUCCAGGAGACGAGAAAGAUUUAUACGAGGAUCCGGGGCAGCAGAGUGCCAGAUUCACUAGAACCAGUGGCUUGAGGUACGAGAUUUUCUAGAACAAAGAACGUGCUUUACAAAAUCUUUCCUUGCCAGCUUUUUGGACAAGGCCGCAAUCGUGGAGACCGGAAGUAGCAGCGAGAAGCAGAGCCCCUGGAGGCUGUGUAGCGUCACCAAGGUGGAGCAAGUGAAGAUGCUGAUCCGGAUCCUGCCGAUAUGCGCCACCUCCGUGCUCGUGUACACGGUCUUCGCGCAGAUGACGACGCUGGCGGUGGAGCAGGGUGCUACCAUGCACAGGAACCUCGGCAAGCACUUCAAGUUCCCUCCGGCAUCGCUGGGAGUGUUCGUCCAGCUGAGCGUGAUCAUCGCCACCCCUCUCUACGACCAAGUCUUCCUCCCGGCCGUGAAGCUCCUGCGGCGGAACCAGAUCACCAUGCUGCAGCGCAUCGGUGGCGGGAUGAUCUUCUCGUGCCUGGCGAUGGUGAUCGCGGCGAUGGUGGAGAGGAAGCGGCUGGCAUUGGCGAGGGAGCACGGGCUGCUCGAUCGACCAAAGGCCACAGUACCGAUGAGCAUCUUCUGGCUGGUCCCCCAGUACGCGCUGGUUGGAGUGAGCGAGGUGUUCACUUACAUCGGCCAGCUCGAGUUCUUCUACAGCCAGUCACCCGAGGAGAUGCGCAGCAUGGCCACCGGGAUGUUCAUGAGCACCAUCUCGGUGGGCUUCUUCGCGAGCUCCUUUCUGGUGGCCACCAUCAACAGGGUGACGGGGGGGAGCGGCCAUGGCUGGAUCUCCAACAACAUCAACAGGGGGAGGAUUGACAACUUCUACUGGAUGCUCGCGGUGCUCAGCCUGGGGAACCUCGCCAUCCACAUUGCCUGCGCGACUUGCUACAAGUACAGGGCUCUUCCAGUGGCUCCCCCUCCUCGUGUCGCUGAUGCUGCUCAAGAGGCUUGAAGUUACGCUCGCUCGAGAGACAAAGAAGGCCUUUUUCUUAAGAAAGGAACUAUACAUACGACAAAGGAACUAUACAUACAUUCAUACAGUCUUAUAUGAGAGAGAUUUUAUUCGAUUGUUCUCUGCAAAGUUGGGAUGAUUUCAUGAUGGGUGUAAAAAGAAUGUAUUUUUUUUUUCCUUUUCGAAAGAUCAUGGUCGAAAGAUCAUGAGGAUUUGGUGGAGGAACUCAAAGAUCGCAGCACUUCCUCGGCAGUGAUCCAUCCGCCGAGGCAACCCAGCGAUUUAUACUUGACGGCCCCCCACCUGAGAAUUCGAGAAAAUCGUAGAGGUGAGGCUUGAUCGAAGAGAACAGAGGAGGGAGCUUACCAGGAUUUGAAAGGCAUGGCAAUACAAUGUAGAUGGAGGUGGCUCACGCUGUUAUAUGGAGGCCGAUGGAAUCCAAACCUGUAAGCACGUAAACUCGAGAAAAUGUGAGUGAGGAAGCAUGAAACACAGCAAGAAGGUCAUAGAUAUGAUCACUUGUAGCUCUCGGCCCCAGGAGCGUCCUUCCGCAGCAACGAUUCUCCAAGUUUGAGCAUCCGCUCGACUGGCAAGAGAAAGAAUUAUCUCUCUCUCUCUCUCUCUCAAAAUCUAAGGAAACGCGGAAGGUUUUAUUACCGAGUAGAGCAUGCUCGUCACCCCUGAGGCUGUUGAUGUUCUUGAUGUGCUCGACUGGAACCACAAGGUAAUGCCUGCAGCGAGCAAUGAAAAUUUUCAUUCCAAAACUUUGUCUAUGCUACUUGGAUCCUGAUGGGCUCCGGUCCUCAAAUGCUAGCAACUCGUCAUCCUGCAGUGGUGAUGGCCAUGAGUCCAGCUCAAGGAAGUAGAGCUGAAUAGAGAACCUGGAAGAGAAUACUGCUGGUCCGGCCUGCGCAUUUCCCCAGCGCGAUCUCACAAAAAGGGCAAAGAGCUCCAGCGCCCAUCAGCCCUAAAACAAAUUCUUUUUAGAAACAAGUGUUACAUUUUAGAAACUAAUGAUUUAAAAUGUCGCGAGAUCAUUUCUAGCUGGACCUUAAAAAAUAAAAACUUUAUUCUAUCAUCUAAAGAACUAGAGCAAAAAAGAUGUUUGUAAAAUAUGCCUUUAGGAUAUUAAACUCGAUCCCUUAAUAUUCGCUACAUAGAGAGAUCGAGGCUGCCAUCUCGCCAUCCACAAAGAUUGCUACCAUUCCAUGCAAGUGUGUUUCCUUCAUUUUAAAAACAAGCAUACUGCAGGCGCAAAUAAUAUUGGGUUUUUAGGCAUCUAUUUGGCUGCCAAAAAAUCUGACUAUUUGCAGAGGAAGCCUUUUCCGAUGAACGACUCAAGCAAACGGAUUGUGCGCUUGCGCACUUCUACAACCGAAGCUCCUCGCUCCGCAACGCGAGUUGGGUGGCUUCUUGGUUGAGGAACUCGUCCAUGGCCGAGAAGUCAUAGCAAAGUUGGCCCAUACAUGGCUUCCUUAGUACUGCGAGGGAAAUGAUGGACAAGCAAAGCUGCAAGGCAAGUCACAGGCAAAAGCAUAUUAUAAACCAUCGUUUCAUUGCCAGGGAGAUAAACACUGCAGUCUUGUAUUGUUCCUCAUCGAGUUUCAACUCUACGUGGCAAAGAUCCAGUACUCUGACUACGAGUCCCUGCAAGAAUGAUCAUGAUGUCCGCUUAGAUAGGAAUUUUGACAGUUUGCUGAGCAGCCACACUUCAAAUUUAGUGAUUGUCAAAAUUUCUAUCCAAGCCUCCGGUAUCAGCACUGCUCUCGCCAGCUUCCAGAUUUGCUGCUGCUCGGGCCAGUUUCCAUAUCUGCCAGAGGGCUUUGAUGAUCAUCAUCCUCAUUGUCUCCAUGCCGCACUGCGCCAUUGUCUCGUGCAUGCCCUGCCUCGUAGAUCUGAUACCCAAAGCUCACAAGCCGUUGGAGGCGGAGAUCCUUCAGUUGUGAGGUUCGCCCCUUAGGCUCGCAGACGAGCUCGAGAAAGUCCUCGUACUGCAACCCGAGCUUAUCCCACGGGUAGGAAGGCGGUUCACAAGAGGAACCAGGCCUGUCUACAGGCAAGACCAUCACCCCUUUAACCGAGUAAGGUGGGAUGAAAUACGGACGCUCUUUCAUAGGGAAUUCUUGGUGGAGGAAGGAGUAGAGCCGGUUAAGGUGCCUGGCAUCGUUGUCAGACCAAAACUGAGGAAUGUAGAAGGAGAAAUAUGCAAGGUCCUUUAACCUCUGCAAGCAGAGCCAGGUAGAAUAUGGCCUGCCCAUCUGCUGGAGAGAAAAAUGAGUGUUAGAACUUGUUCAAGGCACACGACUUAGCUAUUCGUGCUCGAGUUGAAGCGGUUCCAUUCGAUUUGGACGGGCUUGUAGAUUCACUGGUAGACCGGCUUGUGAUUCCCAAUACUUUGAUUUGAUCAACGGAAAUAGUGCUAGAAUUGUGUUUGGUGAGACUGUCAUUCAAGGAUACCACAAGAUCCCUGGAUUUGUAGCAUACCUUGCUACAGUUUUCCCAGGGAUAACAGCAAGCAUUACCAGUUCUUGCUGUAAUCCCGAUGCUACCAAUGCUUGCUGUGUUCCAGAUCCCUGGGAAAUUUCUAGCAAGGUAUGCAUGGGAAGAGGAGAGUUGUUGUGGAGGCCCCGACCUCGAACUUGCGGCAAGAGAAACCAUCCACAUCAUGAGAUCACGGCACAGCAUCCUGUCGAAAAGCUUUUGCCCGUUCACGAUGCUUCCACACUUUGCAAGUUUAGUUUCCAAUCAAAGAAAGCAUCGACUUACCAUGAUGUGGGUGGCCAUGGCAUCACGCCUUUCAAGCUUCUGUGCCAAAGUUGUCGUCGAGAAUUCCUGUAAGAUUCCAUUGGCAUAAAAAAAAAGUCAGAAUCCGGCCAUGGGCAGGGUGGCACAUCCAUGAGCUGGACGCCUUGGUCGGGGAUGCCUCGCAGCGCAAGGGAGGAGAGGUAGCGAGAGACAGUAUUAUGCCAGACGCCACCAUGGCAAGUUGCGUUGACAAAUCGAAUGAACAUCAGCUCCCUGUUACGAUCUGCCCAUAGAGCUGGUAGAAACAUGGGCAUAAAUGUUCCCAGUUCUAUGUUCCGCACUGCGCAGACAUUGGCAGAGAAAGAUAAGAGGAAAUCAAGAAUCUAGCUUCGUGGAACCACGCCUAGAUUUGGAUGCAUCAUGUGGGGGAGCCUCCACAAAAUCGUCGACCUGUUCAUGGGAUCGCAGCACAAUAGAGCCCUCGCUCCAAUAUGUAGCAAACUGCAGGCGCGCCGUCGGGGAAGCCAGCAAAGUCCGCUCGGCCAUUUCGAUGUCACUCGGCUCGCCCAGCUCGGCCAUGACGAUGUCUCUCGGCUCGCCCAGCGACGAUGAUCCACUCACGGCCAGUGCCCUUGAUCAGCCGCAGGACGCCUCAAAGAGCAACACAGGGACGAUCAUCCGACGGCCUGGAUGACCAUGCAACACACGGACGGUGGCGAUGUAAUCGUACACUCGCGAAAGGUUUAAGAUCGUUCGUACAAGUCCUUUCAAAUAACUAAAAACCUGUUAUAGUUAUGAUAAUAGUUAUAAUAAGAAUAUCCACUGGAUCCCCUAGAUUUUAGCUAUACAUAUUUUCUUUUAAUCAGAUCAUCCCUCCAGGGAGAUUAAAAUUACAGCGCCGUGGUAUCCGCACCUCGUGGUGCUCAAAAGAAUCGAAGACAAACCUUAAAGAGAGAAACAAAAUCACUUUAAGAAACUCACAUGCCAACGAGGGUGGCCGACUCGUUGGCUGUGCUGCCCGAGUGCUUGACGCGAGGCUUUGGCGGAGGGGGAGGAUUCUCCAGGCACAUACAGUCCGGGGCCGGGUACGUGUAGAUCGAAGCGCUCGACUUGCGCAUCUCGUGGCCCUUGACGUCGUUGUGUCUUUGCAUUGCUUGCAAAUGCUUUGAGAACGAUUCCCAGCUGCAGUCGAGUGAAACUUAGAGAACAGAGAAAGGAAAAGAAGGGAGGAAGACGUGCUUACCUGAUGCUGGGUCUGUCCAAGAGUUGCACCAGCUUUCGCUUGUCCGGACGUAUCGUUUUCGCGUAGCCCUUGUUGAGAAAUCGCCUAUGGCCGAUCAAAAAAUGUGGGAAAUUGCCACCUUGUGUCGUGACAAAAGCCUCGCUGUGCAGACAAACUGUAUAGUCCAGUGCGGCUAAUCUCGAGGAGUGCAUCUGAGGAAAACCAAAGAACAAGUCAUAUGGUCAGGGCCUCGUUCAAUAUCAAAAUGUAGAGCUUGCCUUGAAUGGUGCAAGCUCCUCAUCUGUCAGUAACGUUUCUUUAGUUUGAAGGCUCGGAAACAUCUGCUUCAGCGGAAGCAUGGUUCUCUCCUCCUUGUAGAUCUUCCCCGCAGCCAGAAAUAUGGGCGUAGAGUUCUUGAAUCCCAUUCCCCUGAGCAUCAUUCCGACCUGCAAGUGGCUUUAGACGCGCCAAAGAAAUCACGAGAGCAAAGCGACGGUACCUCCAGUGGAGUGAGGGGACACUUCCCAUCCAUCCUGUUACCACCUGGACUGAUUAUACGGCCCUUCCUGUUGAACUUGCCUUUCCAGCCCUUCUCGCGUGCAGCAUCCAUCUCCAGCUUUUCCUCUUCGCCUCCAUCGUAAAUACAACACGAAAACGCCACCAUGUCCUGUAAAGGAAUGACGAAAAAGAAAAACAAAACGACACCGUCGUUUGUUGACAUCUGCUCAGAGAUGGCGAACGUAAAAAACACGUUACCUCUUCGAACCGCAAAUGCACAGCGACAUACUUCCCACCGUUCCCAGAGCUGCGCUCUACCAUACGCUGAACUAGCAGCUGGCCAAUGUCGGAAAUCGGCUUUGCGAAUCUCAGAGCCUCGUAGUUAGUGAAGCAUCUAAGCCGCUGCAGAGGUAAAGGAAUGUGAUCAUACGCUAAACGGUUUGCAAAGGGAGCUAUUCUGAUGACUCUGUUGCCAGCAAUACUGUUUGAAUUAGAUGACAGUCAAAAGGUAGAAAAAAAGAGCUUACCCGGUUUCAAGGAGCUUGGGGAGGACUUUGUCGAGAUAAAAGCUGGGUGGAGAUAGAGCCUUGAUCCUAAAGUUGAAAAUAUUACUGAGGUUGCCUACGCUGUCCAUGAGAUCAUCGGGGAGCCGGCUGACAACUCUCACGUCCCUCUGGAGCGCAUUAAUAAAAUGCUGCUCAUCAUAUAUCUCCCCGAAAGUGCUGCAAUUAACAAUCACACACAUGAGAGUGAAGAAAGGAAAACAAAAGGCACGCACCUCCUAUCCUGCCAAACACUAUUAAAAUGAAACUCCGGGACAACAAGGGUCGCGUUCAAAAGUGCUGCUACAGCAACAGCGUUGCAUAUCUAUCACCAAGGAAAAAGAGCCACGAAAAGAAUCUCAAUCACCCACGGCAUUCUUCGAAGAAGAAAAAAAAAACCAAAAAAUCCACAGACUUACGGAAGAUCUCUGCUGGUUCAAGCCCCCGUUUGCCUCUAUCAUCACGAAUCCAUUCGAUGGAGGUAAAUCUGGACACACAUGCACGAACAAAAUCCAAGAUAGUUAGCUCUUCUUCGUGUUUUUUCUCUAAUCGAGAUCGAGAAAGAUGGUUGUCACUCACCAGUGCUAUUCGAAGAAUGACGAUCCAAACAAGGAACCCAGCCCUCUCCCUCCUUUGGAAACUGCCACACAGCCUUAAUCUGGAAGAAUUCGCGAAGAACCAAAAAAAAAAAAAAGAAACAAAGGGAGAGGAGAUUUUUCUUAGUCACACCACACAAAAGCAAAUCUCAUCGAUCAUACCCCGGUGUUGUUGGAAGCCCGCAUUGCCGGCCACAAAUUCGCGAACACCUCGGGGCUCCGGUACCUGGAGCCGGGAGGAUCCGGCUUCCUCACCCGCGGCAAAUCCAGCGUCAUGGUGCUCAUGUAGAGCAGCAUUCCCGAGAUGUAGAUAAUGGGCGCAAUCAGCAAGAGCUUGUGCUGCCGGAGGAGAAUCGAGAGGACGAGGCAAGAGAGGCGCUGCAUGAGCGUUCUUGAGGAGGAAGAAGGGGAGCGCUUGCUGCCACUGCCGCUGCCGCUGCUCCGCCCAUUCGUGCUGGCGCUGGGCGAGGACGAGAGAGGAGGAGGAAAAGAAUUCUGCUGCGGCUGCUCCUGUUGCUGCAUGGAUCGGCUAGGCGGCACCAUCAAACCCGAUCCAUCACUCGAUUCGCCUCGCCGCCCGCCCAGCAGCAAGCGACAGAUCGAUCGGGACGAUAUUAAUGCCCAGCUCCAUCCAAAUUCGUAUCCCAGGAACCCUAAAAAAGGGCUCGCCCACAAAUAAACCCUACUGGAUGAGAGAGAGAGAAGAACGUUGGCCCCUUUGAGUCCUCGAUCUAGGCGGCGGUGGCGGUGGAAGAAGAAGAAGCGGCGGAGCUCUCGUCCUUGGCGGCGCCAGAUCUAUCCUCGCCGCCCUCCUGCUGCUCGGGGUCGCCGUAGAAGAGAUUGAGCGGAAAGAGAUCCUUGGAGAGGGAGAUUGGGCGCUUGAGAUAGACGUAGCACUUCUUGUACGAGGCGGUGCGAUAGAAGUACUUCUUCCGGGGAUUGAAUUUCUUCUUGGCGUCCAUGUUCAUCGUGUGGACCUUCUCCACGUCUAGGCCAUAGACGAGCUGGAGGACCCUCUUGAUCUCUAGCUGCAUUGGACGAGAGAGAGAGAGAUCGAUCGAUGAGUCUCAAAGAAGAGAUUUCUAACGCUCACCUUGCCGGCCCUGGGAUACGUCCGGAAGCACAGCUCCUUGAGAUCGUUGGGGCGGGGCGGGAGCUGCAAUCGCAGCGGGAUGUUGGCGAGGUAGAUGACCCGGCCCAGAUUCUUGCACGUCGUCUUGAUCGGCCCGCGGUGGCUCCACUGCCCGAAUGGCGCGCCCUCCAGUGCCCCCUGCUGCGACGCCUCCAGCGCCGGGCCUGCCCUCCUCUCCCACGCCCUGGAUCUUCCAGGCCCUGCCGCCGCCGCCGCCGCCGCCGCCGCGGCUCUAGCCCCCGGCCCAAAUCUCCUCGCUCUCGAAGCUGCUUGCGGCGAUGCCGAUGAUGCUGGCGCUUCAGGAUCGCGCCGCGCUCCAAACCUGGCCACCGCCGCUGCCAUGCGCGUCCCGAAUCUCCGAGCGAUCGGCAUUGCCUAUUUUCUCUAGAACCCUAAAAGGACAUAACGGGCCAUUAGAACCCUAAAACUUCGAUGAAGCAGCGGCCAUGGCGGAUGGCGCUGGCGAGGGCGCUCCACUGGGAGAAGGACCAGCAGCCGGUGAAGCAAGCCGAGCGCAAGCUCGUGGAUCGCUACAUUCUCCGAGUCAAGGGCGGGCAUGGCGGCGGCGGAUGCAACAGCUUUGCCAAGAGCUUGAGCUCUCGGCACGGCCGUGUCAAUGGUAAGCGCUCUCUUCUUCUUUUCUCUUGCAUCGCAGAGGCUCCAAAUGUGAUGAUCUAGGUGGAAAUGGCGGCAUUGGAGGGAAGGUGAUUCUCAAGAGCACGCCAGAAGUUUACGACUUCAAGAAUCUACAGCACGCUGCGGUGAUCUUCUUUUUUCUUUGUUUGUUCUUGCCUUCGAUCGAGCCUUUAUUCUGAUCGAUCUUUCAUUCUUUGUUUUUCUAGACAGGCUGGUGGAAACGGGGGCUCGGGGCUUGACAGGAAGCAAACUGGGAAGAGAGGCUUGGAUGAAGUAAGUCUUUGUUCUUGCCUCUCUAAGUUCUAGCGAGAAUGAUCGAAUGAAAUCUUUCUCAGGUUCUCUACGUCCCUCUGGGAACAGUCGUCCAUCUUUCCGAGGGCACUCUCCCGGACAUGACCCAAGACUUCCGGCAACGAGUAGCUCGGAGAACAGUGAAGCAAACUUGGGACGGUGACAAAGACUGGGUGAGGCUGAGCCAGAUGUUCUCCAAGGACAUAUACUCGCACAGGCCCGAUCAUCCUCCACCACCCCAAGAAACCUCAGAAGAACCGGAAGAGACUAGCGACGACAGUGAUCUAGACGAAGACGAAGACGAAGAAGAAGAAGAUGACGAUGACGACGGUGCCUCUUCCUCGUCGUCCGAGGACGCGCCGCGCGUCCUCAAGAUCCCGAGACCGAUCAUCCGGAGCAACGUAGCCGAGCUGCUGGAGCCCAACCAGACGCUGGUGGUAGCCGUGGGUGGCGCCGGGGGUAGAGGCAACGCGGCACUCCCCCGCUCGCUCCCGAAGAAGAGCAAGUGGCCGAACGGACUCCCGCGCCUGGAGAACGAGCCCGGCGAGCCCGGCAGCGAGGCGGUGCUCAUCCUGGAGCUCAAGAGCAUCGCCGACGUUGGUCUCGUGGGGGCUCCAAACGCCGGCAAGAGCACGCUGCUGGGCUCCAUGUCCAAAGCGAAGCCGUGCGUGGGGAGCUACCCCUUCACCACGCUCAGGCCGAUCAUCGGGAGGGUGGAGUUCCCGGACUACUACUGCUUCAGCGUCGCCGACGUCCCGGGGCUCAUCGAGGGCGCUCACGAGAACCGGGGCCUGGGGUUCCACUUCCUCCGGCACGUCGAGCGCACGAAGGUGUUCGUCUACGUGCUGGAUGCGUCGCUCGGGGUGGCGGGCAGGGAGGGGGACUACGCGUGGGAUCAGCUGGAGCAGCUCAAGUAUGAGAUGGAGUGCUACCGGAGCGGGAUGACCAAGCGGCGGUCGAUCGUAGUGGCGAACAAGAUGGACGAGGAGGGGGCCGAGGAGGUGGUGAGGGAGCUGAGGAGGAGGACGGAGCUCCCCGUGUAUCCGGUGUGCGCUGUUCUUGGCGAGGGGGUUGAGGAGCUCAAGGAAGGGAUGCGGCAGAUGGUGGAGUGCGAUGAUGGGGAUGCGCCGGACUUGCAGGAGCUCAAGAUUUGAGGUGGUGUGUGAUCUUUUGAGUUAGAGUUCCAAUGUUGGCAUGGCAUCUCACUACUCGGAUCAUCUUGGUCCUACAAGAUAGCUUUUGCUCAAGAUGCCGCAGUACAGUAUCUUUUUGUGGGUGGUGAUGCUCCAUCUCUUCUGAAUUGCCCAAGAAAAAACCAGCUUAUUGAAGAUAUGUUGGAGCGCAAUCUGUGAUUGUGAAACAAGAGGAUUUAGAUGUUUGCCACCAGAGGGCAUUUGCUAGAAAGAAUGCGUCAGUGGAACGAUUGGGUUUGGUGCUACUCCCCGUCCAGAAGUAUGCGGGAGUUUAAAAUCCCAGCACAGUAGCUAGCUAGUCCAAGAUUGGAAUAAAGCGAAGAAAGAAGGGUGGCUCCUUCGUGUUUGGGAGAUCUUACAGUGGAGCAUCUAUCAUGUUGGUGGUGGUCACCAGCAAGAUAGCGCACUUUGGACGAAGAACGUAAGAAUUUUUGCUUGGUCUCUCCGUGUGGGGUUGGAGGACUGUAGCUAAAGCUUCACGACGCAAGGCCUUUCACUCGGAGCCAAAAGCAAUCAGUUUUGUGGGCUGUGGAGGCAACUUUUUUGUUCGCCGCUAGUACACGCCUUUGAAGAUGGGGAGCAGCGGUAUAAAGCUGGCAAUCGCGAAGAACGCAGCAGCAUCUUUGCAACAUGGAGCUCACGGUUUUGGCGUUGCUCAUAGUCGCGGCGGCUUACAAUCUUGCAGAAGGUGCGACGAGGAUUGGAUUCUACGACGGCUCGUGCCCUCGAGUGGAAGCCAUCGUCAAGUCCACAGUGAGAUCACACAUGAGCUCCAAUCCUAUGAUUGGAGCAGGCGUUCUUCGCUUGCAUUUCCACGACUGCUUUGUCCGAGUGGGUUUGAAGCUCGUUUGAAGCUUUGAUUUGAUCCUGAGCUUCCGUCCGCUCGUUUCUUCAGGGCUGUGAUGGCUCCAUUCUCAUCGACGGCCCGAGCGCGGAGAAAGCGGCGCUGGCCAACCUCGGCCUCCGGGGCUUCGAAGUUAUAGACGAUGCGAAGCGGCAGAUCGAGGCAGCGUGUCCGGGAGUUGUGUCGUGCGCCGACAUUCUUGCGCUCGCUGCCAGGGACGCGGUCUCAGAGGUAUCAAAUCACGAACUUUCGAUCGUCAGCUAUUAUAACAAUCCGUGCGCUGUGUCUUGAUCAAUGACCUUAGAGUGGAGGACAGUUCUGGCCAGUUCCUCUGGGCCGACGGGACGGAAGAGUUUCCUCUGCCUCGGACGCAUCAAACAUGCCCUCGCCACUCGACUCGGUCGCGGUGCUCAAGCAAAAGUUCUCGGCCAAAGGACUCACAACUCUGGAUCUCGCAACUCUCAGUGGUACGUAAAAUCACUCGAGCUUUCUCGAUCAAUCGACAAAUCUGCCAUACAGGUGCUCACACGAUCGGCCAGACCGACUGCCGCUUUUUCAGCUACCGCCUCUACAACUUCUCGUCCACCGGCAAGCCGGAUCCAUCCAUGAGCCAGAGCACUCUCGCUAUGCUCCAGCAGCAGUGUCCCAGGGGUGACGCGGGGCUCAACAAGGUGGCGCUGGACACGGGCAGCCAGGGCUCGUUCGACAGCAGCUACUUCAAGAACUUGCGGAAUGGUGGCGGGGUGCUGGAGUCGGACCAGCGCCUCAUGGACGACACCGGGGCGCGCAUCACGGUGACGGCGUUUGGAGUGGCCGGGGUGACGUUCCGGGCGGGGUUCGUGGCGUCCAUGCUCCGGAUGAGCGACAUACAGGUGCUCACUGGGAGUGAUGGAGAGAUUAGAAGAGCUUGCAAUGCAGUGAAUUGAAUGGAAAAAUCUAGCAAAAGUUUGUGAGAAAGCUCAAAAGCAAUGAGACAUGGCUGGAGCUCAUCUACCUGGACAUGUACAACAGACAGUGUUUACUGGUAAUUGUCGACAUUUCAUUUCUCACAAUUCUUCAUAAGAAUUUAUAACAUACAAGAAAAUAUAAUGCCUUCAAACAUUCUUCUUUUUAAAUAAAUAAAAAAUUGAUAGUGUGAGAGCCAAGUGUACGGCUACGAUGCCGUAUACUAAUAUUAGCGUAGUGGAUUUUGGUAGCCGUCAGAUUGGUUUCAAUCCGGACCACUCGCUCCUGUAUAUAAGCUAGGGUUUUUGGGCUAAUUGAUAUGCACAUUUCUGUAUUCCCUUUCCAUAUUCCAUGCACUCACAUUGGUGGAGAUGAGGGGCACCUUUGAUUGUCCCUGGGGAGUACUUGGAUUUGGGAUUUCGGUUUAGAUUUAGCUUUUGCAUUGUCUAGAUCUAGCUUUUUCCAUUUCCUUUCUUUUGUUCUUUCCUUUCAGGAUUUUGGUUUAGAUCUAGCUUUUUGCAUUGUCUAGAUCUACCAUUUCUUUCCAACUUUUUGUCAUUUCUCUUCUUUUGCUCUUUCUUUUUCAUUCAUCUUCAUGGCCGAUCCGCAAUCUCCUCCUUUGGCUCUAGAGCAGCAGUUGGUUCAAUUGCUUGAUGCUAUGCGCUUGCAAUUGAACAACCAAACUCAGUUGAUGGUGGCGUUCACGGCACAUUGUUAGGAAUCCCCUAAUUCUUGCCACAUUCCUGACUCUCGCCGGAUUUCUGACCUGCAGACCACAUUCCUGACUCUCGAGACACUUCCCGAUUCCUGAGUCUCGAGCCACAUUCCUGAUGAUGAUGUGGCGCCUUCUCGACCUCAGCUGUAUUUAGGCCAUCCUCGAUCCAAGAGUGGUGGAGCUUCAUCAACCUAUAGUAUAUAUAGGUUAGCCUUGUUCCAUUUCUUCACAAUCUGAAUCAACACCAGUCUAAGGCCUUUUCUUUGUUUUCACUAGCUUUUUCUCUUUGUCUUUAGCAUUUUCUAGUCUUGAUCUUGUUGGGGGUCUUGACAGUUUGAUUCAGAUUGUGUUUUUUGCUUUUCUUUUAGCUCGUUUUGAUUAUUUGAUUGCCUUUGUCUUUUUCCCCCUUUUCUUUUCUUUCUUCUUGCCAAUGGAGUCUCCAAGCCAUCCUGAUUUCUUUGCCGAAGUCCUUGCAAAAAUCCAGUCUGAGAAUACCGAGCUGAAGGCGACCCUUCUUCGCAUGCAGCAGGAGCUUGCUUCACUUUCGGCUCAAGGAUCCAGCAAAGUUCCUGAACCGAAGGUGAGUUUCCCGGCGAAAUUUUCAGGCAAGCGUUCGGAGCUUCGUGGAUUUUUGAACCAAAUGGAGCUGAUCUUUGCACUUCAACAUCGGCGGUACCCCACUCCCGAGUCUCAAAUCAGCGCGAUUGGGACGUUGCUCGAGGGUGCAGCUUUGUCAUGGUUUUCUCCUCUUCUGGAGAAGAGCAUGAAAGGGGUCGUGGUUCCGGAGCUGAUGGAUCUUCAAUUGUUCAAAGAGAAGCUCGAAGCAUGUUUUGGCGAGACGGAUCGGGUUCGGGCUGCUACCACAAAGAUGAGACGUCUCUCUCAGGGGUCUCGUCCUGCCUCGAUCUACGCUGCAGAGUUCCAACUCCUUGCCUUGGACACUCAGUGGGAUGAGUGGGCCCUGAUUGACCAAUUUCGUUUCGGCCUCAACAACGGUGUCAAGGAUUUGUUGCUCACCAUGGAGGAUCCCAAGGACCUAUCGGACGCCAUCAACAAAGCUGUUCGAUGUGACAAUCGUCUCUUUGAAUGUCGUCAGGAAAGUCGCCGUGCCUCUGUUUUUCCGUCCCAGACUUAGGAAUCCCAGCUUGAGUCUUCGGGGCAUAGUCCUGAACCUACUGCUCCGGUCCCGAUGGAUAUUUCUGGUACUCCCCGACUCAUUAGAGGGAAGUUGAGUCCUGCUGAGAGGCAACGUCGAAUAUCUCAUAAUCUUUGCCUCUACUGUGCUGAUCCUAAUCACAAAGCAGCUGUGUGUCCCAGGAAGCCUCCCCGAUUGCUCGAGUUCACUCUGCCUCAAAGUCCACUUCUGUUGCAGUCGGGAAACGACCCUGUCCAAACAGAGUAGAAGCUGUCUGUUUGGACUCCCCAAAUAAAAAUCACUUUUCUUCCUUAUCAAGCUCCUCACCACCUUUCAUCAAAGCCACCACCAAUUCCUGCAACUUCCGCGUCCCAUGUCUCCUUUCUUUCACCGGACAAUCAGGACUCAAGGCUUUGGCGCUACUGGACUCGGGUGCAACUUCCUGCUUCAUGGACACGGACUUUGCUGCCCGAUAUCACGUUCCUCUUUCUCCUACCAUACGGGAUCUGAGGGUUGAAGGCAUCGGCGGGCAUUUUGUGUCUCCAUCUUCUGGACUUAGGGAAACGUUGCCCGUUCGAGUACACAUCGGGUCCACCGUCACCGAUAUCGCCUUCAACAUCAUUAACAGCAAGUCCUCCUCUGUGGUGCUCGGUCUUCCUUGGUUCCAACUACAUCAGCCUCAGAUUUGUUGGAAGGACUUACAGCUCAUCUCUCCCACAUCACCAUCUCCCACGGCUUCCCCUGGUGUUCAUCGAGUCCGAAUCAGGAAAAGUUCCCUAAACUCAAGUCGGGGUUCUGUUCCUGACUCUACGAAGUUUUUAUCCUCUUCUUUUUCCUCUCUUCCAUCUUACACUGGACAGUAUCCUCGUCUCAUCAUUCCAUUUAGUCGUACCCCUUCUCCUAUCUCCACAAUCACUAUGAAAGAACUCCUUCAUAAAGAACCUCUUUUUCUUUUUGCUUUGCAUGUUUCUCCUGUCAGUCUUCCUGAGAAGUAUCAUGAUUUUGGGGAUGUGUUUGACAAGAAAAAAGCUAGUGUACUGCCUGUUCAUCGGCCUUAUGAUUGUCCCAUUGAUUUACAGGAAGGAGCGUCACCUCCGUGGGGGCCUAUCUACGGGUUAUCCCCGUCCGAGCUUAAGGCCCUCAAAGAGUACGUGGAUGAGAACCUUGCCUCGGGCUACAUUCAGCAUUCGCAGUCCCCGGCUGGAGCGCCUGUCUUCUUUGUCAAGAAGAAGGAUGGGAGCUUGCGGCUAGUAAUCGACUACCGAGGUUUGAACAAGGUGACUGUUCGGAACUGUUAUCCGUUGCCCCUGAUCUCGGACCUGUUGGAACGCCUCGGCGGUGCCCGCUUCUUCACCAAGAUCGACCUCCGUGGAGCAUACAACCUGAUCUGGAUCCGGCCUGGUGAUGAAUGGAAGACUGCGUUCCGAACCCGCUAUGGCCACUUCGAGUACACUGUCAUGCCAUUUGGCGUGACAAAUGCUCCAGCGGUUUUCCAACACAUGGCGAACGACGUUUUUCGGGAGUUUCUUGAUCAGAUGGUGAUCGUCUACCUCGAUGACAUCCUCAUCUACUCAAAAACUCAGGAGGAGCAUGACGAACAUGUUUGCAAGGUGCUAGUGAAGCUGCGAGAACACGGCCUAUACGCGAAGCUUGAGAAAUGUUCCUUUGAUCAGUAGUCUAUGAAGUUCCUUGGGUACAUUGUCACUCCUGAGGGUAUCACGAUGGAUCCUGCUAAAGUCAAGAUUAUUCUCGAAUGGGAGCCUCCACAAUCAAUGUCGAACGUUCAGGUUUUCUAUAAGAGACUAAUUUUUCCAUUCUACUUUACUCACUUAACCACACCUCCGACCACUUGGAGGAGUCUCAUUCACAACCUCCAUAAGCCCAACUCAGGACUUGGGGCUUGCUAGCCCCGAGAAUGGCAUCCAUGCCACUCAACCUUAGCACUUGGUCCAAGUGCUCCACGUGUCCGAUCCCAUGAUCGACACCCCAAGGUACCACCGACAUAUCGGCCCGUUACGCUAAGGCCAUGCCCAUUUACCUUGGUCACACUGGUGGUCCAACACCACCUACAUUCCCAUCCCGUCUCUCAAAGACUGGGUCAUCCGUCCAUGAGUGGUCAUCCCAGAUCCACUCCUUAACAUCCUUAGGAUGCCUACAGACAUGGGGAAUAGCCUUCCCCAAUAUCUCUGUUUCGGUCCCCACCAAGUCCCUUUCUGUCCUUGGUUGUGUUCGCCAACACUGCCACUGGAUCGAGGCCCACCGGCCCGACCACUAAGUCCCACUAUCCUCUAGGACUUCCUCACUGUGUGACUGUGUCCUUGGUCACCACACUGGAGGGCUACCCCUCUUCCUUUCCACAGUCUGGGACUUUGGGACACCAUUUCGGAACACUGUGGCCUUACACAAGCCUCAUGGGUACUCUCCCCGCCUUUCGUCUUUAGGUGCUCUAGCCAUGGGCUUAGAGCGAGGUUCCGUUGAGCCACACCAGGUAUCCAAGUAGGUAGUGCCACCCACACUUGGACUGGGAGCAUCGGCCAGUCGAUCUCCCGGGGGAACUAGAGCCGGCUCUUGAACACUUCACCAAGCUACCCCGCUUGUCGGUCCGUGUUCACUCUAGUCUUGGACUUCCCAGUGGGCAGCUCAUCACCCAACACUGGGUCCGGCCUUCCUGGGCCAAACUGGCCUUUCCUGGCCAAACUGGCUCCACUGCAGUCCUCCCCCUACUAUACUUUUGGAGCUCACCAAACCCCCCAGGGUCUGGGAGACGAACGCUUUGGGCUUUCACCCUCUCAGGCUUCGAACUCGGACUCGGACUCGGACUCGGACUCGGACUCGGAUUCGGACUCGGCCUCGGUCUCGGUCUCGGUCCCGAUCUCGGUCUCGGUCCCGGUCUCGGUCUUGGUCCCGGUCUCGACUUCGGACUCCAUCUCGGGUCCAUCUCGGACUCCAUCUCGGACUCCACCUCGGACUCCAUCUCGGGUCCUUCUCGGACUCCAUCUCGGACUCCAUCUCGGGUCCAUCUCGGGUCCAUCUCGGACUCCAUCUCGGACUCCAUCUCGGGUCCAUCUCGGGUCCAUCUUGGACUCCAUCUCGGACUCCACUUCGGACUCCAUAUCGGACUCCACUUCGGGUCCAUCUCGGACUCCAUCUCGGGUCCAUCUCAGACUCCAUCUCGGACACUUCCAUGUGUCAUGUGUUGGUCCUUUUUGGUUCCCUUUUUGAAGCCUCGCUUAUUGCUCUCUUUGUGCUUGUUCCUCGAGCACUUCGUUGGGAGUUCCACUCCCGCUCUUGACUUUUCAAGUCGGAGCUUUUGGUCCAAACGUGUUACGCUCGUUUGGCUCUCGCUUCGGCCACUACCAUGUGGCGCCCUUCUGGCUCCACUUUGGGGCCUAGGGAUUUUGUGUCUCACAUUUUCCUUGGCUUCGCCAACUUCUACCGCAAAUUCAUUGAUCACUACUCUGACAUUGUCCUUCCUCUCACACAUCUCACUCGCAAGGAUGUUCCCUUCUCUUGGUCUGCUGCUGCCCAGCAGGCCUUCGACACACUCAAGGCGGCCUUCAGUUCUGCUCCUGUCUUGAUCCAUGCUGAUUCCUCACAACCUUUCUUCAUCGAGGCUGAUGCCUCCGACUUUGCCAUUGGUGCUGUGCUGUCUCAACUCGGAGCGGAUCACGAACUUCAUCCGGUUGCUUUCCAUUCUCGGAAAUUCCAGCCUGCGGAGAUCAAUUACGAAAUCCACGACAAGGAGCUCUUUGCCAUCGUGGAUUCCUUUGGAGAGUGGCGCCGUUUCUUGGAGGGGGCAAGCCAUCAAACAACAGUCUGGACGGAUCACAAAAAUCUCGAGUACUUUGCCACUUCCCGAGUUUUAAGCCGUCGUCAAGCAAGGUGGGCAUAAUUCUUGAGUCGGUUUGACUUUGUUAUCAAGUACAGACCUGGAAAGUUUCAAGGCCUUCCUGAUGCUCUUUCAAGGUGCUCCUAUCUCAGUCUCAGGCCUGGUAAUCUUGCCUUUGAUCAACAAGAUCAAGUUAUCCUCGGUCUUGAUCGGCUUCAAGUUAUGGCAAUUUCCCUGGCCCCUCAGGACUCCUCCUUGAUGGAUGCAAUCAGAAACGAUCUUCAAUCCGAUGAUCUCGCUAGCGACAUUUUCCCCCAUCUUCAGGCUGGACACCCAGUGACUCCCGACUGCCGGCGAUUUGACGAGUUCGAGUUCUUAGAUGGCUUAUUGUACCGUGGGGAGCAGCUUUACGUUCCUGAAGGUGAUGCUCGAAGGUUGGUCCUGAUGGCGUGCCAUGAUAGCCCGACUGCUGGUCACUUCGGCAUUGCGAAAACCUAUGAGCUAGUUGCACGGGACUUUUGGUGGCCUCACAUGGACGACUACAUCAAAGAUUUUGUUACCUCCUGUGACACUUGUGCCCGGAAUAAGGUACCUCGCCACCUUCCUUCAGGUUUGCUUCGUUCCCUUCCGGUCCCUUUAGGUCCUUGGGAAUCCAUCUCCAUGGAUUUCUUGAGUGAUCUUCCGAGUUCUGGAGGCUUCAACAGCAUUUUAGUCGUGGUGGAUCGCUUCACAAAGAUGGCACACUUCUUGCCAUGUACCAAGGAGUUUUCGGGCGAGGACAUGGCAAAACUGGUAUUCAGGGAAAUUUUCUGACUUCAUGGGAUUCCUACAGAUGUGGUUUCGGAUCGGGGGCCUCAGUUCAUCUCUCAUUUCUGGCAACGGUUUUUACAGCUGCUUGGAGUGAAGGCCAACCUCUCUUCGGCAUAUCAUCCUCAAACUGAUGGGCAAUCUGAGCGAACGAUUCAGACGUUGGAACAAUUCUUGAGGUGCUUCAUCAACUAUCAUCAGGAUAACUGGUUCGAUAUCCUUCCCCUUGCUGAGUUUUCCUAUAACAACUCUGUUCACUCCUCUCUUCGAGUUUCCCCCUUCUUUGCGAACUCUGGCCGAAAUCCCCGAUUCAAUCUCUCACUUCCUUCUCCAUCUGAAUCCUCUCGUUCAAAUCCCCGCUCUGAGGCAUUUAUCUCCAACCUCCAGGAAAUCCACAACUCCAUCUCCUUCCACCUCCAUCGUGCUCAGGAAUCUCAUAAAACAUUUGCCAAUGUCCAUCGUCAGGAUUGUUCCCCUUACAAUAUCGGGGAUAAAGUCUGGCUCCUCAGGCAAAAUAUCUCCACCACCAGGCCCUGUCCAAAACUCGAUUUUAAACGCCUUGGUCCUUUCCCUAUCACUGCCAUCAUUAAUCUGUAAGCAACCAAAGGGAACGACUCGAGAGACAAUCCAUGGGGUUCAAAUAUAAAGGGAAAGGGCCCAUGAACAAGAGUGCACCCCCUUUUCCAAUUGGUUAAGGGUCUUGGGAUAAUUAGAGUUAAGCGUCCUUGGGUUUGAAUAGUACUGGGCUGGGUGACCUCCCGGGAAGUCCAAACUCAGGAGUUUACAUUUGGUAUCAGAGGGGUCUCGGGUCCGACUCUGUUGGUUGGCUAAGGGAAUCGCACCACAUGUUGAUUGACAUCUGGCUGGUCCAGUUUGCUCCCGCUGGGCUCGACCCGAGGGGUAGGGUGUCAAGAGAGCGAGGCUCUCGGGAGAGCUGCGGCUCUCAGCUUCCGUUCACGAGGGCGUGAACUUGCAGGGAAGCGUGGUGGAUUGUAAGCAACCAAAGGGAACGACUCGAGAGACGAUCCAUGGGGUUCAAAUAUAAAGGGAAAGGGCCCAUGAACAAGAGUGCACCCCCUUUUCCAAUUGGUUAAGGGUCUUGGGAUAAUUAGAGUUAAGCGUCCUUGGGUUUGAAUAGUACUGGGCUGGGUGACCUCCCGGGAAGUCCAAACUCAGGAGUUUACAUAAUCCUAUCACUUAUCGCCUUGCACUUCCCUCCUCAUAUCAAAUUCACCCCGUUUUUCACUCCUCUCUCCUUGAGCCUUAUAUUCCCAGUCCUAUUCCAAAUCGGGUCAUUCCUCCGCCUCCACUAGUGCAGUUCGAGGAUGGGUCUGAGUACGAGGUUGAGGACAUCCUUGAUUCCAAGAUUUCACAGUCUAAACUCUACUAUCUGGUGGACUGAAAGGGUUACGGACCUGAGGAACGCACUUGGGAACCUGCGGACAACCUGAUUCAUUCUCCUGACCUUGUUCAGGACUUCCACCGCCGCUAUCCUUCUCGUCCCAGUCCUCAUUUUUUUUCUCCCUCUCCCAUCCCUCGCCACUCAUCUCAUCCUCCUCUUCGUUCUCGUUCACAUCCUCGUUCCACUCGUUCUUGAGGAGGGGGUGCUGUCAGGAAUCCCCCAAUUCUUGCCACAUUCCUGACUCUCGCCAAAUUCCUGACCUGCAGACCACAUUCCUGACUCUCGAGACACUUCCCUAUUCUUGACUCUCGAGACACUUCCCGAUUCCUGAGUCUCGAGCCACAUUCUUGAUGAUGAUGUGGCGCCUUCUCGACCUCAGCUGUAUUUAGGCCGUCCUCGAUCCAAGAGUGGUGGAGCUUCAUCAACCUAUAGUAUAUAUAGGUUAGCCUUGUUCCAUUUCUCCACAAUCAUUAUGAAAGAACUCCUUCAUGAAGAAUCAACACCAGUCUAAGGCCUCUUCUUUAUUUUCACUAGCUUUUUCUCUUUGUCUUUAGCAUUUUCCAAUCUUGAUCUUGUUGGGGGUCUUGACACACAUGGUACAACUCCUCCUGCUCUUGGUGCCAAUCCUCGCGUUCGGCCGGAGUUCUUUCGUGGGAAUCCUGGGGAUGAUGUGUACCAUUGGUUCGAUCACUUCACGGUGAUUGCCACAUAUCAUUCUUGGGAUGAUGCUCGACGUUUGCGUGAGUUCCCCACAUGUCUCCAAGGGACGGCAUUGCAGUGGUACAAUGGAUUGAGCGCAGCCACUCGUGGCGAUUGGAGUAUUCUUCCGGACGUCUUCAAACGCGCCUUUGGACACGCCGAUGAUUGUGAUGAUGCCUUCCAACAAUUGCAUCGUCUUCGCCAAGGGCCAUCUGAGUUGGUGAUGCAAUUUGGCGUUCGUUUCCGAAGUCUUUUGCUUUGUGCGGAGCCAAAUAUGUCGGAGCGGAUCAAGCUAGGAAUGUUGUGGCCAGCACUUCGUCAAGAUUUUGUUGGACUUGUGCAUGCACUUGCUCCUGCCACCCUUGACGAUGCUCUUCGCUUGGCACAACGUUAUGAAACGUCGCCUCUUCCACUUCUUGCUACACGUCCUUCAGCUCCACUUCCUAUGAGUGAUGGUCCUGUUCCCAUGGAGGUUGAUGCUGCUGCUACUCGAGUCCAAGGACAAGGGCGAGGACGUGGUCGUGGCCGUGAUGUUCGUUGCUGGGCGUGUGAUGAAGUUGGUCAUACUUAUCGGCGUUGUCGGCACUUUCCGGAUUGGCGACCUCCAUUUCCUGGGUGGAGACCUUGGCGUCAGCAACGUCCCGUUGGUGCUGCUGCGGUGGAAGGUUUGGAUACCGAGGUGCAUUCGGGAAACGAGGAGUCGCGCGAGUAAUGGAGGGACCUUGCGCGAAUAAGUUAGUGACCCCUCCAUCUUUCUUUCGGGAGUAUCAUCAAGGGGUUCACUCGGCACCAGUUCAUCCAGUGUUUACUUUCCAAACUCGUUUUUAUAACAAGAGGUCUCCUAUUCUUCUCUCCGUGUUGGUUGAUACAGGUUCGAGUUUAUCUUCUAUUGCUCGACCUGUUGCCACACAUUGUCGUCUACACUUGCGUCGUGCGGCGGAUCCAGUUUUCAUUCUUUAUGGCAACGGCCGUACACAUGCAUGUGCACGAGAUGAGGCAGACCUGGUUGUGCGUGUGGGCGAUCUCGAGCUUGAGUUGCAGUCAUUGUGGGUGGUGCCAAGUCAAGCUUUUAACCUCAUUCUUGGUAUGGAUUGGUUGCAGCACAAUCAUGCCAAGUGUGACUUUGAGGCUUCUCCCCCUUGUCUCAUACUUCCUUAUGUUUCAUCCAUUCCUCUCACUUCCGUACCUCUUCGUCCCUCUACUUCUACCUUUGCUUUCAUUACUUUUGUUUCCCCACUAUUUCCUCUUGUGUUUCCAUCUUGUUCUGCUCUUCCCUUUUCCGAUCCCUCCGAUGGUCUUUGUGUUGCAGCUGUUGACCAGCUCAUGAAGGAGUAUUCUGAUCUCUUUGAAUUUGAUCUAUCGUCUGGGGCCAAGAUUGCCACACGUCAUCCCAUUCCAACCGGGGAUGCUUGUCCAAUCAAGGUUCCUGUUCGUCGUCGGUCACCCAAGGAGAUCAAGAUUUUACGUGCAAACGUCAAGGAGAUGUUGGAGAAGGGUGUUAUUCGGAAGUCGCGGAGUCCUUGGGCAUGUGAACCUCAUCUUGUGACGAAGCCUGAUGGGAGUAUUCGUUUCUGCAUUGACUAUCGUCCGUUAAAUGAAGUGACGAUCCCGGACGUGUACCCUCUUCCUCACAGUGCUGAUCUCUUGGAUCGUCUGGGGCGAAGUCGUUGGUUCACCAAGCUAGAUCUUGCUUCUGGGUAUUGGCAAGUACCGAUGGCCAAAGCAGAUAUUCCUAAGACUGCUUUUCGUACACCAUUUGGUUUGUACGAGUUCUUGGUGAUGCCGUUUGGUUUGAACAAUGCUCCAGCAACUUUUCAGCGGAUGAUGGACGAGGUUCUUUGCGAUAUGCCGGAGGUGACAGCUGACUUCAUUGAUGAUGUCUUGAUCCACUCGGAAGGGACGUGGGAGGAGCACAUUCGUGAUGUUUGUAAGGUGUUGGAUCGGUUACGCGACGUUGGUUUAAAGCUGAAGCGUUCAAAGUGCGUGUUUGGGUCCAAGGACACAACUUAUCUUGGGUACCGUAUUUCUCGUGAGGGUUUGCAAGUUGAUCUUGACAAACUUAUGGCUGUUCUAAAGUUCCCUACUCCGAAAUGUGUGAAUGAUGUGCAGCGUUUUUUGGGUAAGGUGCAGUAUCUCGGUCGUUUUGUGGAUCAUCUUUCCGAUCGCACUACACCAUUGCGAGCGUUGCUGAAGUCAUCAACGUCAUCUUUCAUCUGGUCUCCGGAUUGUGAGCGGGCAUUCGUGAAUCUCAAAGAGCUAUUGACGACUCCUCCGGUUUUGGCAUAUCCUGACUACACUCGACCUUUUAUUUUGCGUGUGGAUGCUUCUGACAUUGGUCUUGGAGGUGUGUUGAUGCAAGAGAGCUCGAGUGUGCCUGGUCAACGCCAUCCCAUUGCAUAUAUAAGCCGUACAUUACAACCAGCGGAGAUGAACUACUCCACAACGGAGAAAGAGUGUUUAGCAGCAGUCUGGGGUUUCAAGAAACUUUAUGCAUAUCUACAUGGUUCUCAGAUGUUACUUGAAGGUGACCAUGCUACUGUUACUUCAUUAUUGAAGCGGAAGAACCUGGUUGGUCGUACGGCUCGAUGGGCUUUGAAGCUUCAGAUAUAUGAUUUCGAUGUUGUUCAUCGCCCAGGGAGUUCUAUGGCUGAUGCUGAUGCCCUUUCUCGAGUUCCUCUUCCUUCUCCACUCACUUCUCAUGUUUCUGACGAACCUGUUGUUCCAGCAUCUGUGGAUUUUCUAGAUGAGGAUUCUGUGCCGUCAGCAGUUGCUGUCCUUGACGUUCAGUGUCCACAGGGUGCAGCGCAAGAUCUACCUUCUCUUGAUGAGGUUCGCGAGGCUCAAAAGAUUGAGCCGUGGAUUCGAAGGCUUCGAGAUGGGUUUGAGAAUCCUGCAUCACUUGCUGAUGACUUGCCUUUCCAGCAUUUACAUUCUCAAUAUCGCCUUGAAGAUGGCCUUCUUUAUUUUGUGGGGACGGAUCCUGAUGAUCAUUUACGUCUGGUGGUGCCUUCGGUGUUUAUUCCGCAGUUUCUCCAUGCCUACCAUGAUUCUCCUGUUCUAGGUGGGCAUAUGGGACACCGUCGUGUCACCGAGAAACUGCGCAGAUCUUUCUAUUGGCCAGAGAUGCGACGUGAUAUUAUCCGGUAUGUGCGUAGCUGCAUUUGGUGCCAAGCUCGUAAUACUCCCCCUUGUGCUGCGGAAGGACGGUUGGAGUCAAUUGCAGUUUCUCGUCCGUUUGAGUUGGUGGCGUUUGAUCUUAUGGGACCUUUUCCACAAUCGACUGCUAGCAAUGAGUAUGUUAUUAUUGCUUCUGACUACUUGAUUCGUUGGGUGGAAGUUGGUGCUCUUGCUAGUGCCUCUGCAACUGCUGUGGGAUACUUUCUCCUCAAUCGAGUGGUGUUCCAGCAUUCUUGUCCAGAGCGGAUUCUUUCGGAUAAUGGUCCUGCAUUUAUGGCUGAGGUAUUUCAUGUUUUGACAUCUCGGUUGGGGAUACGCCACACUUUUACGAGUGCUUAUCAUCCACAAUCAGACGGUCUGGUGGAACGGCUCGUUCGGACAUUCAAAGGGAUGAUUGCGAAGUAUGUGAACUUUCAGCAUUUGGAUUGGGAUGGUUAUUUGCCGUCUCUUCAGUAUGCCUAUGUCACAGGGGUGCAGAGUUCUGUUGGUGCUUCACCAUAUAAACUUCUAUAUGGUCAUGAUCCAAUAUUACCAACAGAGCUGGGUUUACCUUCACGAUUGCCACGAGCUCCUGAUGCUAGGUCAUGGGAUCAAUAUUUGACAAGCAUUCUUCCACUUGUCCGAGCAGAGUCUGCUAAACACUUAGGCCGCGUACAAGUGGGACAACAACGGCGCUACAAUUCCCAUCAUCGUCCACCUGCAGAGUAUAAAGUGGAUGAUUUGGUGUUAGUCCGUUUUCCCCAUCUUACGGUACAUGGUUUAUCUAAGGGGCUCCUUGCGCAGUGGAAAGGACCGUAUCGGGUGUUGCGGCAAGUUGGACCACAAGUUUAUGAGGUUCGGCAUGACGUUCAGCAGGCCGAUCCUCCGGAGAUUGUGCAUGUGCAGCGGUUAAAACGCUUCAUACAAAGGGAUCAGGAGCAGUUAAUACCGUCGACAGAUCCACCGAUGCCUCCUCUUGACGUUCCUCCAGAUCCCGGCCCAUCCACAAGAGAACCCUGACGGCCUUCCAUUAUUCCGAGAGGAGGGGAUGAUGUGAGGGCCAAGUGUACGGCUACGAUGCCGUAUACUAAUAUUAGCGUAGUGGAUUUUGGUAGCCGUCGGAUUGGUUUCAAUCCGGACCACUCGCUCCUGUAUAUAAGCUAGGGUUUUUGGGCUAAUUGAUAUGCACAUUUCUGUAUUCCCUUUCCAUAUUCCAUGCACUCACAAUAGUAGUGUUAUUCUUACUUAUUAAUCCAAUUGAUCAAAUAAAAUUUAUAAUUAUAAACAUGUUUGUAAUUUAUAAACACAAGAUUAAUUUUAUUGCAUAUCAUGAUAGAAUAAAAAAUAAUAUACUAGAAAGGGUUUAAGAAAUUUUAUAAAUUAUAAACAUGUAAUAAAUUAUAAAUACAAGUUAAUCUAAAUAAAUGACAACCGUUAGAUGGUAGAAUAUUCUAGAAUAUCCAAACAUACUUUAGGUAUAACCACUACUAUUCUACAUUAAGCAAACCAAAAAAUAAAGCAUAAAAUAUCCACCCUUUCUCUUCCUCUGGAAAGUGUCCAUUUUACUAUAAAUCCACACCAAAAGGAAUUGAUGGUAGCAAUGAACCUUUGAGAAAAGUAACAAAAUAUAUUACUGCACCCAGCUUCCUUUCUUCAUACGUGCCUUUACGACUCCAAAGCCUGCUUGGGCAACCCCAUCCACAAACGUAUUGAACUUCACAGCACGAAGUUCACCUCUAUGGUUGCAAGUCAGGCAUUCUUCCGUUGUUCUCGAUCCAUUUGAGUGCCACUCGAACCCUACGCUGCUCAUCAUCACUGACGCAGCGUCCAUAAUGCAAGUGGCCAUUGUCAAUGAAGUUGUAAAACGCGCCAUGAUUUUGAACAAAAACCGUUUUGAUAGUGGCCUCACCUAUUCGGUGCUCCACGUAAUCCCAGCCAUUAGAAAUCCCAAACUUUUCUUCAAACUGCCCUUCAUGGGCUCCGUUGAGGGAAUCAAUAUCAUCUGAGCUGAGCUUCAUGAAGGGAUUAAGCUCCCGAGCCUCGGGCUCCUCGAGAGCAGUCAAGUCGGGGUAAAAGUAGUCGGCACAGCAUGUCCCAAACACCAAGACGCCCUCACCUUUGCGCACGUAGUAGAAGUUCCUCACAACCUGGUCACAAAGCCUUAGGCGUGGACUAAUGGUGCACAAGAAGGUGGUGACGAAAUCCCUGUGCGUGAACUUGGCAAUUCUGCUGAUCCAGAGCCUCGCGCACCCCACCAUCACGUCCUUCAUCGCCAUCCACAUCCGGUUCGCUGGAUAGCUCAGCAGAUCUAGGGCUAUAAUCCCAACCGAAGCAAACCGCGAAGCAACGCCAUAGCCGUUGGCGUCAAGCAUCAGCGGCAGGAGGGAUAGCAGCCUCGUGAAAUCCUUGUUGAGGAAGUGCUCCCGACUGCUCAUCAAGAGGACGCGCUUGGUGAACGUCUCAAUGGUUGCUCCCUCUGCCAUGAAGAGGUCAAAUCCCUCGCCCCAGGCGAAGGCGUCUGCAAUGCACAGCUGCGGGAGGAGGUGAUCCACUUUGCUGCAGAUGAAUUGGGUCCCGUGCCUUUUGAGAAUGUAGCUGCUGCAGAUGGCACUGUAAUCAACGAUAUAUGCGGUACCCCGCCUGCGCUGGAGGAAAUGGGCGCUGUUGCCCAGACGGGUGUCGCUUGAAUCCAGCUGAUGCUCCACUGUCAUGGGAUACGUCCACUUCUGGCCCUGCACGACCAAUCCGAAUGUUGCAGUGGAGAACGGAGGGCCGAAUAUGGGAUCUGUUAGCCACUUGAAGGUGUGGUAAAUUAGAGCGGAUGGGAUCCUGAAAAACUUGGCCUCUCUGAGAAAUUGCCACACUGCAUAGGAGAACUGGAGCCAUAACCACACUGAAGCCAUGUCUGUGAUCUAGGAAACUUGUACAUUAAGAGGAGAUUAGAAGUCAACUCUUACCCAGUUCUCCGGGUUCAAAUCCCGGCAAUGGAUGCAAGAUUUUCCUUUUAGAGCAAUUCUUUUCCAUCUGAUUCAAUUCACUGCAGUUUCAAUUAGUGUUCAUGGAGUGGAACACCAACACUCGUGCAUGAGUGCUGUGUGGAUGUAAGAGCAACCUCAACAGCUUUGCAGCAUGUCCAGGAGAGAACCUAAUUUUCAGUACUGAUUUCCUUUGGAAUUAUUCAGAGAUGAAGUAGUUUCACAACAAACAUUUGGAAGUGCUUUGUUACAAUGUUCGCACCUAUGGUGAGAAUAUAUAAAGAUAGAGUAAUGCACCAUCUUUGUUAAAAUGCAGAGAAACAGUCUGCCAGCUUUCGUUUGUAUCAUGAAGACAUCUCAUUAUGCCUUGCUUAGUUAUUUUCUUCCACCACAUAAGCGCUGAGAUUUUCCAUGAUGUAUAUUUUAACAUAGUGGAUUGAUAUUGGAGUUAAAGGGGAUGCCACUUAUAGUUAAACGUUUCAACUGACCCUUUUUGAGAUACGGACAAGGAGUUGCUGGAACUUCGGCAUUUCAUCUGAGCUGUCUUGAAACACAAACCAAAGAGACUUUUUAAGUCUAGAUUUUAGAAAAGAAUCAACAUGAAUCCCCCACUAGAUACAACAGUUUAGAAAUCCUUUUUCACCAGCAUCACCAUCGGGUUUGCUUUCAGGGCCACCUCGCACAAAGAUCUUCUUCUUCUCGCGAGACAUCACUUUGAAGUGUUUGUAAAGCAACUCUAUCUCACUCAAUAGCUUAUAUGGUGAGGACCAUAGAACCUCCCUUUAUUUCAUCCACAGCUGAUCAAGCUUAGCUACAUCAAAAGUCAGCCCAUUACAUAACCCUAAACUUUAGCAUCCCCGUCCUAGCGAAGACGCCCAUUGCCCCAGGUAUGCGGCUAGGAGGGCGGAAUCAAGCACUGCCCGCGCGUCCUCGAGGCUCCCACACCGGAUGUACAUCUUCAGCACCUGGGCAUGGAGAUCAGAGCAAUGCGGCCCUGCGCCUCGGCGAGAUUCGUGACGCUCGCCAUUCUGGAGAGACUUCAAUGCCGUCGGAUCGCUCGGAUCGCCUUUACACUUUUUCGUCCACCUGCACUCCUAACGAGGUCGAUUUUGGGAAGUUGAUACCGUAAAAUUCUGAAGGUAGGAUACGAGGCUGCGGAAUCUUGCUCCUAUGUUGUAUUCACUCCUCUAUUUUUCCUUGCACGAAGAAGCGCAAAGCCUCCCUUCAGUUGGCCAGCAGGAAGAGAGUGGAAGCGCUCUUGGGGGAACUCAAGGAGCUGAGCUACGAAAAGCUCAAGAGCAACAAGACAUUGGAGCUCAUUUGCCCGGACAUAUACGACAGGCAAUGUUAUUGGUACAUUGGUCAGGUUUUCAGUGUGACGCUGCUGAAGUUCAUCGUGGAUCCGCCAAUAAGGCUAUCUGCAGUGGCAGAGGUGAUGGCAUGAUCACGUACGUGAUAGGGACUCCUAGUUUUGGCAAGAGCGUUAGCAACCACUGCGGUUGGUUAUCUUUAUUAUAAGGCAUCAAAGCUAUGGAGAUGGCUUAAACUCAACACACUCAGUGUGAGAAGACUCACGAAAUGGAAGUUCAAAUGGCUGAUAUAUUGUUCUUCUUUUUGUUUUCUUCUGGGUGGAGUCUCGACUGGGGAAGAAAGAAGAAGAAAAGAUGGUGAGUUUGUGCAUUUAUGCAAACUGGAAUUCUAUUGUGGAAUGAAAAGUAAUAAUGCAUUAAAUCAUUUUCCUUAAGCUUGCUAUUAGAAGAUUUAAAUUGCAAUACUGAACCUGAAUUUCUUUUUAUCUGUAGGAGUCCUGACCAUGUUGAUUUCACCAAGAACCAAUAUAUGCUCCUGUGUGGGGAACGAUUUGUGAAGGCCCCUUGCAAAGUGCUGCAUGAGGCGUUCAUUUUGGCAUACAUCAAGGAUCCUCAGGCUCUUGCGUCGCUUGAGGAUUUUGAAAGCGAGGAAGAUGUUGAAAUGGUUCUAUGGUUGAGGACUGAGACGGUGCACAUAGUUGUGGACUAUGCGAACUCGAUGGUUUGCGAUCGAAGUAAGGACUCUCAGAGCCUUUGGCCGCAAAGGUGAAGGCUUGGAAGUUUCUUCAGAAUCUCCCUGGAAAACACACGAACGUUUGGGUGGUUGUUUCUGCAUCGGAAUACCGCCUGGGAACCGGAGGAUUCAGUGUAACUCGGAAAAUUUCCGAGUUUAAAUUCAGUCCGGUUUUGUGUUUGUUUCUCGCUCUGCAGGAGGAUGAAGCUGUCGCUUACUUGAAGCAUACAUCAGGCAAAACCGAAGAGGGGUGUCGAUUACGUGCAAGGAGGAUCCAUCAUUAUACUGGCUGGGUGCCGGGGCUGCUUUCGCAAUACCUGACGAAAAAAUGCGUAGUCGAGCAGACUAGGAGAAAAGGUGUUUCGGAUGCUUUGCAUUCGGACGACGAGGUUCUCACAGCUGUCACAGAAGGGCGUUUGAAAUACGAGCUGUCAGACGCUUUGGAUUCUGGGUGCUACUUCUGAGGGCAAGAUGGCAAGGGCCGCUGCAUGGCAGCACCAUCGCUUACGUAACACAGUGUGCGAGGGAGAAGCUGCUAAGUGGAUAGUACUUCACUGAGCCAUUUGGCUGGAACGACUAGCGUAUUGGGCUAAGGAUGGACGUGAUCAUGGAGGUCAUUAUACUGGACGAGAAAGAGCUCACGAAGAAGAAACUAUUGAGGGAAUAUUCGUGAUUCCCUCUUAGGUCAAGUUGACCCAUCAUGUCUAUUCAUUCUCUCAAUAGUCAAUAAGAGAGAUGCCCGGCAGGCCCCGGGCGUAGCGCCAGCAGCGGCUGGCAUUCCCGAAUAUGGUAUCGAAGCCCUGAGGGCUUCAAAUCCUGGGAUGAUGGCGCUGCCUCUGUCAGCGUCUCAGGGCCGCUCUCUUCUCUUCAGACAGAAUCCAUCGAUGCAGUUCAAAUGAAGGACUUUGAUGAAGAUGAGCUGAUCACAGCUUUCUUCAAGGGGCUUAGCAGACCAAUGCAACUCGCAGGGUCGCAUCAUUUAAGUUCCAGUAACACUUUCAGAUCGUAGCUGACCUCACAGCGUUGGAGGGUUUUCUCAAGUCAGGGCAAGCGAGCUCAAAUGAGAAAGAAUUGGCACUCUUCGCAGGAAAGGGGAAACGAUUUGUCACAGUUGGGACAGACUAGGACCAAUGAACGAUCAGGGCGAGAGCAGCAAACCAGAAAAGUUCAAGAAGAAAAAGAAGAAUGAUCGCUGUAACUUUUGCAAGAAACCAAGGCACUGGGCACGAGAUUGCACAGACGAAGAGGCCAAGAAAGCUAAGGAGGCUCGAAAAGCUGAGGCAAAGAGACUGGCAGCAAGAAAGAACAAGUCGGCCAACUUUGCCAGGACAGCAGAAAGUAGCGAGGAAGACAACCAGGAGGACGUGGACGACCAUGGCAGCUUGUUCAUGGCCACUAGCAUCCAGCAGGUUGCGAAGAACACUCUUGGCACAGAAGCAGAAGUGGUGUACCUUGAUUCUGGGGCAAACAAACACAUGACACACCUCAGGAAAUUUCCAGCAGGGAAAUUGUCCAGGACGUAUGUGACAAGAAAUCUCCUGCCACCGCCACAGUUUUCUCCCACGGAAGUAGCUGCGGAUGACUCGGAAGAAAGUGACAACGAAUGUCCAGUUACGGCACGCGCAAUCGGCAGAGCUGAAGGAGCCGGUGAGGGGAAUGGAAGCGGCGACCAGGAUGAUCCAGGCGGUGCAGAGAGCGUGGAUGGUGCUGGAGGCGAUCCAAAUGGAGGUGAGGGCUUGCUCCCUGAAGCUGAAGGCUUGCCACUCGACACAGCAGGCGUUGGAACCAGUGGGAGCGCUAGCACAGCAAACCCAGUCGGCGGAGAAGAAGACCAUGGUGGUGAGCGCACUGUUGGCAGGACCAGGGCUGAAAAUAGUGAGGGCAAUUUGAGACGUUCUGGCCGUGAGCGCGCACUCACAGAGGCUCGUCAAUACAGGGAGCAGCUGGACAUACGAGCAGCUAAGCGGGCUUCUCGGCAAGAAACCAAGGCUGCAAGAGACCGAUCAGUGACAGUGCGAGACCUCUUACGAUCCAGCCUUUUAUUUUGCCAACUCUAGCAUGGAGGAAGAAGGGGAGCAAGGCGAGAACCAGCUUCUCCUUCUCUUCAGCCAUGGCCGAGCUGCACUUGUUCCGAAGACCAUGGAAGAUGCUCUUGCCGGACCUGAUGCAGAUCAGUGGCGCACUGCUCGUCAAGCUGAGUAUAGCUCAUUGAUGGAGAACAAGACCUGGGAUCUUGUGGAGCUGCCACCUGGGAGGAAGGUGAUUAAGACCAAGUUCCUCUUGCGGCUCAAGACAGGACCUGAUGGAGACACACGCUACAAAGUCAGAUUUGUUGCGAGAGGAUUCUCACAAGUCGAAGGAGUCGACUUCUAUGAGACCUUUUCACCAGUGGUGAAGCUUGCAUCAAUUCGACUUCUCUACAACUUAGCAGCUCACGAAGACAUGCACGUCGAGCACAUGGAUGUAACGACGGCGUUCCUGAAUGGUGACUUGGAGGAGGAAGUCUACAUUGAGCAACCAGCCGGAUUUAUUGCCAAAGGACGAGAGCACUUGGUGUGCAAGCUCAAGAAGGCCCUCUACGGCCUGAAGCAAUCGCCUCGUGCCUGCAAGUGGGAGCUCUCCUGGUGCUGUUGGCUUUGUACGUGGACGACUGCUUGCUCCUCAGCAAAAGCAAGAAGCUGAUUCAUCAACUGAAGAAAGAUCUCAGCUCGAGAUUCAAGAUGGUGGAUCUUGGGAGCGUCAAGUACUGUCUUGGCAUCCAGAUCUUCAGAGACAGGAGGAAGGGCACACUAGAAAUGUCUCAGAAGAAAUAUAUUGAAGAGCUCCUCCAGAAAUUCAAGCUUAGUGACGUCAACUCUGCAUCAACGCCAAUGGAAGUUGGCAUGCACCUCAGUAAGGACAUGGCACCUCAGACGGAAGCACCGAAAGCAGUGAUGGAGACGAUCCCGUACAGGCAGAUGUUCCUGGCAAAUCCCGGCUUCCAACACUGGCAGGCAGUUAAGCGGGUGUUUCGUUACCUGAAGGGGACAGCCGAUUAUGUUUUCUGCUACACAAAACAAGAGCAGCCUCAACUCAAGCUGCAGGGAUUCUUGGAUGCAGACUGGGCAGGGGAAGUUGAUCAGCGUAAAUCAACUUCUGGCUACGUCUUCAGCCUGGGCAGCGCAGCAGUUACAUGGAGCAGCCAGCCGUGGCUCUCUCGAGCACAGAGGCUGAGUAUAUCGGGAUGACCCAAGCAGCGAAAGAAAUUCUUUGGCUCAGGACUCUGCUGAACGGUCUAAGCUACGAGCAAGGGGAGGCAACGGUUCUGCAUUGCGACAAUCAAGGAGCUAUUGCCUUGACGAAGAAUCCAAGAUUUCAUCGCAGGACAAAACACAUCCAGGUUCAGUUUCAUUUUAUUCGUGAACAGGUAGCGGUGAAGAAAGUGGAACUCGUCUACUGUGCUACCACGGAGAUGGUGGCAGAUAUAUUCACGAAGGCACUUCCACCAGCAGUGUUCGCGCGACACGUACAAGCUCUGGGCGUGAAGAAAAGAAGUAUCGCGAGCUCAACUUGAGUGGGAGUAUUGAGGGAAUAUUCGUGAUUCCCUCUUAGGUCAAGUUGACCCGUCGUGUCUGUUCAUUCUCUCAAUAGUCAAUAAGAGAGACGCCCGGCAGGCCCCAGGCGUAGCGCCAGCAGCGGCUGGCAUUCCCGAAUAGAAGCUGCGAGAGGGGGGGAGAUAAGGAUCAGAAGUGUCAGAUGUGUGAGCAGGGAUUUUACCCUGGAAGCGUAACAUUGAGAUGUGAUUUCUGUAGCCAGGCCUAUCACAAGAACUGUGUUGGGGUUGAGGAGCCAUGGCUCCUCCUGCACCCCAGGGAGGAGCCAUGGUUUUGUCUAGAUUGCAGGAUGGAGAUGGGGAAUUGAUGAUGAAGAAGAUCAAGUGAUGGUGAAGAAGACAGUAAGAUUGACAAUGAUGUUUAAGUGUAUCGAGACUUGAAAAAUUUCUAUAUAUCGUGAGCUCUGAGUAUCUUGUUCUGGAAAAUAAAAAGGAUCAACCAUCUCUCUAACGCGCUCUUCUACAUUAAUUUGUCAUCCAUUCUUCACGUCGGAGAUGCCUAAAAGGAUGUUGAGCAGCUCCACCUGAUAAUUCCUCCUUUGGUUUGAAGGAAUGAACAUCACGCAUGCCAUAUGCAUCCAGCCUCAGAUGCUCUGAAGGUGAUCAAUAAAGCCAUCACCAAGUAUAUCUUUUGGGAACGAGAAGAGCUGGUCAUGAGCUCCCUGCAGCUCCCCUGCCGGGGUGUCGAACUUGGACUUCGACAGGCGAAGUCGAGCUCGAUGUCCAACACACAAACACAAGUCCAAGAAUAUUUGCUACCUUGUGUGUACUUGAUACACGCAGGAACAUAGUGUUGCUUGCAUUGCGUUGGUCUUCUAAUCUCG